rnacentral:ncRNA from 1 species
CAGCUACAGUGUAUGUUUGCUUCAUAUUUGAACUUCGUUUAAUCAAUGUGUGCGUCUGGACAAAAAUCACAGCAUCAUGAAGCUAAAUGAACACAGACGAAAGUCGGAGGUUCGAAGACGAUCAGAUACCAUCGUAGUUCCGACCAUAAAUGAUGCCGACUGGCGAUGCGGUGUUAUUCCCAUGACCCGCCGGGCAGCUUCCAGGAAACCAAAGUCUUUGGGUUCCG